CCGUCGAUAGCUCAUGAGCUUGCUGCAGUUGGUAGAGCGGAGGACUGUAGAUCCUUAGGUCGCUGGUUCGAAUCCGGCUCGACGGA
rnacentral:tRNA from 1 species